AACACCACCCCGCUAUCUCUCUGUCCUCUCUCCCUUAUCUCUUUCUCUCCCGAUCUGAGCGGCGCGGCGAGCGGCGGCGGAGGCGACGCUCGCAUCUGGCGACGCUUCCACCACUCUGUCCAUCUCUUCCUCCCACCAAUCCAUCACCAUCCCCAUCCCCAUCCCCACAUCGCUGCAGUUUCCCCAUGUGGAGACGGUCCUGUGGCGCCGAUGCUCUCACCCAGUUGCCGGCGGCGGCACUUCUUGUUUGCUCCCAAGCGCCCGAUGAGGCCACCUCUCCGCUCCUCCGAUGUCACCUCCGCCCCAACCCAUACCCAGCUCCCUCUCCACCUUCCCAUGGUAGCAGAUCUGAGCGGGACAAGGUCCCUUCGGUCCUGGCGGUUCGGACGAGGCGGGCGGCCUCUUCUCCCGUAUCUUCUGGUAACUAGGAGCAUGGUGGUGCUGCCCCCAUCUCUCUUAGCUAUCCAUGGCGGCAACAAAAACAUCCAGUGAAACAAACCUUAAUAGGUUUUGUGGAUGUUUCGGCAAUUACUCAACUACUAACAAAAACAGAAGGCGACUGGAAGAUGUCCAUCACCAUAUGCCUGCAUCACAUCAAGUGUAUCUGGAUAUGUAACGAACUAAAAUUGAGGAUUCUUCAAGAAGCUGCUUCUAUUCGUGCACAGUGGCAUUGUAGCCAGGGUUCAGUCGAUGCAUGGUUUGCUUGGAAUUCUUGGCUAUGUACAGUUCACCUCCCAUAUUUGAAGAUAUGUCAACCUGCUAGCUCAGUUUUAUUUAAUAUGUCGUGGUUGUGAUACCAAUGAUGAUUAGUGAGAUGGUUUACUUACCAACACUAUGCAACGAUGCAAUUGCACUGGAGUCAAAUGGUGAGAUUUUCUGUUGUAACAUAUCUUUCUCAAAAAAUUCGAAUUCUUUGGCUCUUACUGCUGGUAACUGAUGAUCAGAUAUCUUACACUCCCAAUGGACAAUUUCAUGUGUGUAUUAAACUAUUAAUAAUCUCCGCUCAUUAUCUAAUGCCUGCAUUAAAAUGAUCUAUUUGUUAUUUUUUCCUUCUCAAAUUUAUCAAUCGAAGCGUGCAAUAGGGUGGCAAGUGAUAUGAAACUAGAAGUACAUGGUGUGGGAAGUGGGCAUUAUAGGUUGUUGUUGGAUCUCUUAAAUUGACUGCUUUAUUCUUGGUUAUUUUUCAUGGAAAUAUAAUACUCGUGAAUCACCUUUUUGCUAUUUUCUGAGAAUAUACACUUAGACUUCUAACAGAGACUUAGUAAUCAGUAAGAGAGAACUGUAUCUGUACAGUCAUAGCUGAACUUAGCAUUCAAGUUUCCUUUGUCACUAUAGCCCUGUGUUGACACUGUAGUAGAUAGGCAGCUAGGCUAACAUGUACUGAUAGAGUUUGGUUGUACGACACCCUUCUGAAGAAACUGCAAAGAUCAUGUAUCAGUAUGGUAGUCCUUUGUAGUCUGUACAUUCCCAUUGUUAAGAGUGUAAAUUCAAAUGGUUCCUUAUCCUGGAUCAUUUUAUUGCGCAAAGAGCUUAUUCUUUUUUGGUGGGAUGUUAUUAGAGGUCUGAGCUAUAUAAGUCACUGCGGUAAAUGAAGUCUGAAGUUUCAUGUAAACUCUUACUUAUUUAUGGCCCAUUCUGUUUAAUCUUUGGUGAUAAAUACAAUUCUGCUCCAUAAAAUGAGCGAAUAUCGGAGAAGGUCGCGCUCAGUUUCAGUUUUAAACCAAUUGUUUUGUUGCCAUCUACUUUAAAUUUUUAAUCCGGUCAUAGUAAAAGUCAUCUAAUGGACAACUCCUUGUAUAAUUUAUCUUGUUGAUAUUCAUGGAAGCUUUUACAGUUAUCAAUGAAAUAUAGUGUCUAGAAAUUAGGACGUUUUAACUAGUGCUUAGCAUGCCCUUUACAUGGUUACCUAUACCUGAAUGAAGUGCCUUCCUUAGUAGGUGUUUUGGUACUAGCUUGCCUUGUGAAGUAAUAGUUGUUUGUCAAUGUUAUGCUUUAUACAAAUUUUGAUGGUGCAAUUUUCUAUGAAUGUAAUUGCAACUUCUUUACAUUUUGUAGGAAAGACAUGCAAGAGGACGAGGAACCAUGAAGUCGGCGGUUUACGUCAACGGGAUAUUUUGUGUAAUGGUGAUAGAUUCAUUGGAGAUGCAUUUUACCUAUCAUUUUGUACACCCACAUUGUGUCUGGGACAAUGAACCAUAAUCUAUUCAUUCUGCAAGAUCUGCUGUAUGUAGUUGCCCACUGUAAGGAGCCGAGGCAGAUGAUGUGCCUCGGAGACAUAUUCUAGAAAACAAAAGAAUUUUUUGCUCUCAGACAAUGAACCAGAAAGUUUCCUCUAUUUAAUGAGUUACAUUAGUUUAUAGGGAACUUGGAUGGUCACUAGUUUAUAACAGAUGGACUUUUUAUAUGUGAAAAGUAAUGAAUCUAUGUUAUUAUUGUUU